AUUGAACGCUGGCGGAAUGCUUUACACAUGCAAGUCGAACGGCAGCACGGGUGCUUGCACCUGGUGGCGAGUGGCGAACGGGUGAGUAAUAUAUCGGAACGUACCCAGUAAUGGGGGAUAACUAACCGAAAGGUUAGCUAAUACCGCAUACGCCCUGAGGGGGAAAGCGAGGGACCGUAAGGCCUCGCGUUAUUGGAGCGGCCGAUAUCUGAUUAGCUAGUUGGUGGGGUAAAGGCCUACCAAGGCGACGAUCAGUAGCUGGUCUGAGAGGAUGAUCAGCCACACUGGAAUUGAGACACGGUCCAGACUCCUACGGGAGGCAGCAGUGGGGAAUUUUGGACAAUGGGCGAAAGCCUGAUCCAGCCAUUCCGCGUGAGUGAAGAAGGCCUUCGGGUUGUAAAGCUCUUUCGGCAGGAACGAAACGGUCUAGGUUAAUACCUUGGGCUAAUGACGGUACUUGAAGAAGAAGCACCGGCUAACUACGUGCCAGCCGCCGCCGUAACAC
rnacentral:rRNA from 1 species